CAGAAACUGAAGUGAAGUCACCUUCUGAGGAUAAAAAUCAGGGAGAACAACCUAAAACCACAGAUACAACUACACCAACAGAAACUGAAGCACAGAUCUCAUCUCCUGUGGAUAAAAAUCAGCAGAACCAGAAUGAAUCUCUAAAUACACAUAUUAAGUCAACUGUACCAACAGAUACAAAUCAAACGUCUGAUCCAGAGGAGACGCCACGUCUAACUCCAGAGACUGGACCUGCUGACUCCACCUCAGAUAACAGACCCACUCUCACCACAUCAGAG